rnacentral:rRNA from 1 species
CCUACGGGAGGCAGCAGUAGGGAAUAUUGCUCAAUGGGGGAAACCCUGAAGCAGCAACGCCGCGUGGAGGAUGACGGUUUUCGGAUUGUAAACUCCUUUUGUUAGAGAAGAUAAUGACGGUAUCUAACGAAUAAGCACCGGCUAACUCCGUGCCAGCAGCCGCGGUAAUACGGAGGGUGCAAGCGUUACUCGGAAUCACUGGGCGUAAAGAGCGCGUAGGCGGGAUAGCAAGUCAGCUGUGAAAUCCUAUGGCUUAACCAUAGAACUGCAUUUGAAACUGUUAUUCUAGAGUAUGGGAGAGGUAGGUGGAAUUCUUGGUGUAGGGGUAAAAUGCGUAGAGAUCAAGAGGAAUACUGAUUGCGAAGGCGACCUGCUAGAACAUAACUGACGCUGAUGCGCGAAAGCGUGGGGAGCAAACAGGAUUAGAUACCCCUGUAGUC